AUGUGGACCUUUCUUCGUCAGCGCUAUGAGCCCUCUGGUGAUGCCUUAUACCUUUCUGUGGUUCGUCAGGAGCAUGCUCUUCAGCAGGGUGACUCUACUGUUGAUGACUUUUAUGCCCAGAGUUCUGCUAUCUGGCGCCAGCUUGAUUCUCUCCGCAGUGCUGGUUGUCGUACUUGCCCCUGCUGCCAGGCUGUCCAGGCCGAUUUGGAGUUUCAUCGCGUCUACGAGUUCCUGUCUCGGCUCCGUAAGGAGUUCGAGCCCCGGCGUGCUCAGUUGUUUGCUCGUGGCCGUAUUUCUCUCAUGGAGGCGUUUUCAGAGAUUCGUGCUGAGGAGACUCGCCUACGUGUUGCUGGUUUGCUGGAGGUUCCCUCUGUGCUCACUACUCGGGCUUCUUCCACUCCACCUGCUGCACCGCCCCAUUCUCGCUCGAGUGCUCCGCCGCUCUUGCCCACUCCUUCUGGAGGCUCAGGUCGCCCUCGUUCACACUGUGACUACUGCAACAAUGAUGGUCAUAUUGAGUCCCAGUGCUACACAAAGCGGAAACACCUGCGCAAGGCGCGAUCAUCCUCCUCAGGGACUUCGUCA
rnacentral:rRNA from 1 species